CGGAGGGGCUAGCGUUGUUCGGAAUUACUGGGCGUAAAGCGCACGUAGGCGGCUUUGUAAGUUAGAGGUGAAAGCCCGGGGCUCAACUCCGGAAUUGCCUUUAAGACUGCAUCGCUUGAACAUCGGAGAGGUAAGUGGAAUUCCGAGUGUAGAGGUGAAAUUCGUAGAUAUUCGGAAGAACACCAGUGGCGAAGGCGACUUACUGGACGAUUGUUGACGCUGAGGUGCGAAAGCGUGGGGAGCAAACAGGAUU
rnacentral:rRNA from 1 species